CCGAUUGACUAAGGUUUCCAGAGGAAGGCUCGUCCGCUCUGGGUUAGUCGGGUCCUAAGCUGAGGCCGACAGGCGUAGGCGAUGGAUAACAGGUUGAUAUUCCUGUACCACCUAGUAUCGUUUUAAUCGAUGGGGGGACGCAGUAGGAUAGGCGAAGCGUGCUGUUGGAGUGCACGUCCAAGCAGUAAGGCUGAGUGUUAGGCAAAUCCGGCACUCGUCAGGCUGAGCUGUGAUGGGGAGAGGAAAUUGUUUCCU
rnacentral:rRNA from 1 species